GUGUUUGCUUCGGCAGCACAUAUAUUAAAGUUAGAACAAUACAGAGAAUAUUAGCAUGGCUCCUGCUCAAAGAUGACACGCAAAUUUGUGAAGCAUUUCAUAUUUUU